rnacentral:rRNA from 1 species
AUUGAACGCUGGCGGCAGGCCUAACACAUGCAAGUCGAACGAGCGGCGGACGGGUGAGUAAUGUAUGGGGAUCUGCCUGAUGGCGGGGGAUAACUACUGGAAACGGUAGCUAAUACCGCAUACCAUCAGAUGAACCCAUAUGGGAUUAGCUUGUAGGUGGGGUAACGGCUUACCUAGGCGACGAUCCCUAGCUGGUCUGAGAGGCUGAUCAGCCACACUGGCACUGUGACACGGUCCAGACUCCUACGGGAGGCAGCGGUGGGGCAUAGUGCACAAUUGGCGCAAGCCUGAUGCAGCCAUGCCGCGUGUAUGAAGAAGGCCUUCGGGUUUUAAAGUACUUUCAGUCGGGAGGCGUUACCGACAGAAGAAGCACCGGCUAACUCCGUGCCAGCAGCCGCGGUAAUAC